rnacentral:rRNA from 1 species
UUGAACGCUGGCGGCAGGCCUAACACAUGCAAGUCGAGCGGAUGAAGGGAGCUUGCUCCUGGAUUCAGCGGCGGACGGGUGAGUAAUGCCUAGGAAUCUGCCUGGUAGUGGGGGAUAACGUCCGUAAACGGGCGCUAAUACCGCAUACGUCCUGAGGGAGAAAGUGGGGGAUCUUCGGACCUCACGCUAUCAGAUGAGCCUAGGUCGGAUUAGCUAGUUGGUGGGGUAAAGGCCUACCAAGGCGACGAUCCGUAACUGGUCUGAGAGGAUGAUCAGUCACACUGGAACUGAGACACGGUCCAGACUCCUACGGGAGGCAGCAGUGGGGAAUAUUGGACAAUGGGCGAAAGCCUGAUCCAGCCAUGCCGCGUGUGUGAAGAAGGUCUUCGGAUUGUAAAGCACUUUAAGUUGGGAGGAAGGGCAGUAAGUUAAUACCUUGCUGUUUUGACGUUACCAACAGAAUAAGCACCGGCUAACUUCGUG